rnacentral:pre_miRNA from 1 species
UCCCCUUAGUUUCCUUUAAGAGUGAUAAAAAUGGAAAAGGGGGCUGAGGUGGAG